rnacentral:tRNA from 1 species
CCCUGUAGCUCAGUUGGUAUAGCAUGGUGUUUGCAACGCCAGGGUUGUGGGUUCGAUUCCCACAGGGG